rnacentral:rRNA from 1 species
UACAGAGGGGGCAAGCGUUGUUCGGAAUUACUGGGCGUAAAGGGCGCGUAGGCGGCCUUCUAAGUCGAACGUGAAAUCCCCGGGCUCAACCCGGGAACUGCGUCCGAUACUGGAAGGCUUGAAUCCGGGAGAGGGAUGCGGAAUUCCAGGUGUAGCGGUGAAAUGCGUAGAUAUCGGGAGGAACACCAGUGGCGAAGGCGGCUUUCUGGGCAUUUCCUGACGCUGAGACGCGAAAGCGUGGGGAGCGAACCGG